CCUACGGGAGGCAGCAGUGGGGAAUAUUGCGCAAUGGGCGAAAGCCUGACGCAGCGACGCCGCGUGAGGGAUGAAGGUCUUCGGAUCGUAAACCUCUGUCAGCAGGGAAGAACGGUCACUGUGCUAAUCAGCAGUGAAUUGACGGUACCUGCACAGGAAGCAACGGCUAACUCCGGGCCAGCAGCAGCGGUAAUACGGCGGGUGCGAGCGUUAAUCGGAAUUACUGGGCGGAAAGGGCGCGUAGGCGGUAUGUAAAGUCAAGGGUGAAAUCCCCGCGCCAAACGUGGGAACUGCCUUUGAAACUGGCAAACUGGAGUGUGUGUGAGGAUAGAGGAAUGUCUGGUGUAGGAGUGAAAUGCGUAGAUAUC
rnacentral:rRNA from 1 species